CCCGGCCGCCGCCGCCGCCGCCGCCGCUUCCCUCCCCCCGCCCUCCAGCCGCCCAAGAUGGCCGCCGCCGCGCCUCACCGCCCGGAAGUGACGGUGGGCUCGACCGGAAGCCCUCUGAGCGGGGGGGAGGAGAGAGAGAAGAUCCUGCUGAAGCGUCAUAGCUCUGCGUCACGGCCGGAGGCUUAGAGCUAGGCAGGGAAAGAAGGGUCUCUGACAACCCGGAGAAGGAACUUCCGGAAUCAGAGUGUCUUGCAACUUACGUCACUGUCCCGAAAGCUCCUCCCCCGGCGCGCGGGGGGGGGCAGCAGAUCUUUCCAAGGGGCAGCUCUGAGGGCCCGAGGGGGCCGCCGCCCCCCAAUAAAACAUUUUGGGGGCCGCCCCCAAGUUGAUGGGCAUUACUAUUCAAAUAGUGUGCCUGCACCACGUCCUGUGAUUGAUUAUGCGGGGCAGUGCUUACCAGCCCCCCCCCAAUAUUUUAUUCACGUUGGUAAAAUAUCCCACCCUCCCCAGCCGAAGCCGGGCUCAGGGCGGCUAACAACAAUAAAAGAAUACAACGUUCUAAAAUCAUUUCCUUAUAAAAUUAAUUCAAAUCAAAUUGAAUAAUAAUAAAUCCCUAAGAUCUUUAUGACGUAGCUGCCAACUAUGAUAGCGGAAAGUGGUGCCUCCAUGGCCAGGAGCAGUCUAUCUCCUCCUGCCUGAGACAAGGUUUUUAGUUGCCCCUUUGUGAAUAGGGUUUUAUGGAUUGCAAAUGUUUUAUUGAUGAUUUGUUAAAUUUUAGGUAUGAUUUAUGCUGUAUUUCUAAUGCUCUAUUAUGCUUUAUCACGCUACUGUUAUUUAUUGCUUGUAAGCUGCAAUGGAUAACAGCAUAGAAAUGCAAUCAAACCCAGCUUCUAAGGAGGCCUUUUGCCACGAGGUCCUGCUGCUGCGCGUCUUUCCAGGCGCUUCUGUGGGAAGCAGACAGGAGGGCUCGAUUGGGGUAGACACCCCCACAUUCUAGUCCAGCAGAAGCAAGUCUCUUCUCCUGUUUUGCUGCUUGGAAUCUCCUGUGGCUGCAGCAGCUUUAAAUGAAGCCACUUAAUAUUGUUUGCACUGGCUGGCAGCCUGCCACCCCCUCCGGAAUUGCAUGCUGGGGACAUUGCCACCUCUACCGGUAGAUGCUGCCUGGGACAACAUGGGUCUUCUGUAUGCCAAGCAUUGGCCCUUCCCUAGAAGUUGGUAUGGAAAAAUUGAGGGGAAUAGGGCUGUAAAAGCCAACCCCAAGUUCUAUGGGUCAGAAAAGUUAGUGUGGAGGCAGGAACCAAUGGAAAGCAAGCAAUAUCUUUAUUUUUCUGCUGCAGCAGAGUCCUCACCAUCACCUUGCAAGGAGGUGAUGCCCCAGGAUAAAGGCUCCUCUGCUCUCCCAACUCCUUGGGAGUCUUCUGGACAGCAGCCACCACUCCACCCCAAAGAGAGGUGUCUCCUCAUGCUGCCUGAUGGAAAAAGAGAUGUGAGUGGGCAUCAGAGGAGGGAGAAAAGGAAGGAAAGAGGGACAGAGGCCAGAGUUGCCUGCGGCAUCCCAUCAUUCAAAGCACUCCAGGGUGCCAUGCUGAAAACCCCUGGACUAGGGGUCAGACAUGGCUGCAGUCUUGCUCUCUGUCCUAUUUUAGAUCACUUUUAUUUGGUGGUAUAUUUGGCAUUCCAGAAAACAGGGCAGGUGCUGUUUGUUUUGUAUGCCCUUGAAGAGACUGAAUAAAAAUUAUUAUUAUUAUUAUUAUUUUUAAAGUAUAAAAAUAAAAAACUCAGCCAAAUGGGCGGGGUAUAAAUAAUAAAUUAUUAUUAAUUAUUCUUAUUAACAUACAUCCAUAAAUGACAAGUGUCAUGGUUAAAGCAAUUAAAGUGUUAAAAUGCUGA